rnacentral:ncRNA from 2 species
AACUAGCCUUCGCUAGUGCUCGCGUUAGGGAUUGAACGGCCUGUUUGAAAUCCUUUUUGUUUUUUCGAAAAAACAAAAAGAUUGAGUAGUAAAAGCCCGACCCUUU